UACGGAAGGCAGCAGUAGGGAAUAUUGGGCAAUGGGCGAGAGCCUGACCCAGCCAUGCCGCGUGCAGGAAGAAGGCUUUCUGAGUCGUAAACUGCUUUUGAUAGGGAAGAAUAACCAGUACGUGUACUGGGAUGACGGUACCUACAGAAUAAGCACCGGCUAACUCCGUGCCAGCAGCCGCGGUAAUACGGAGGGUGCGAGCGUUGUCCGGAUUUAUUGGGUUUAAAGGGUGCGUAGGCGGCCCGUUAAGUCCGGGGUGAAAGCCCGCUGCUCAACAGCGGAACUGCCCUGGAUACUGGCGGGCUUGAGUACAGACGAGGUUGGCGGAAUGGACCGAGUAGCGGUGAAAUGCAUAGAUACGGUCCAGACCCCGAUUGCGAAGGCAGCUGACCUAGGCUGUUACUGACGCUGAGGCACGACAGCGUGGGGAGCGAACAGGGAUUAGAUACC
rnacentral:rRNA from 1 species